UACGUAUGGGGCAAGCGUUGUCCGGAUUUAUUGGGCGUAAAGAGCUCGUAGGUGGUUCAGUAAGUCGAUUGUGAAAAAUCUGGGCUCAACCCAGUGGAGCAGUCGAUACUGCUGUGACUCGAGUCCGGUAGAGGAGUGUAGAAUUUCUGGUGUAGCGGUGAAAUGCGCAGAUAUCAGAAGGAAUACCGAUAGCGAAGGCAGCACUCUGGGCCGGUACUGACACUGAGGAGCGAAAGCGUGGGUAGCAAACAGG
rnacentral:rRNA from 1 species